ACUUUGCAUAAAUAAAUGGGUUCAACUCACUUAACAUCCAAAGAUAAAACAUGCUUGCUUCAAAUUCAUAUGAAUGACAACAACGACAAGACACAAACAAGGAAGGUCACAUUUUACCUUUAAUUUCCACUUUUAAGUCUACUGGUAAGGUAAGGUGCAGCAGAAAAAUAAAAUUUUAAAAAUUACAUAGUCAAGACAUUUUGCUAUUUUUAAGAAGCUUAA
rnacentral:misc_RNA from 1 species